rnacentral:lncRNA from 1 species
UCCCCAUGGGGGUCCCCAGGGUGUCCCCAGGGUGUCCCUCGUGUCCUUGGGGGGUCCCUUGGGGUGUCCCUCGGGGGGUCCCCAGGGUGUCCCUUGGGGUGUCCCCAGGGUGCCCUUAGGGCUGUCCCAAGUGUCCCCAGGGUGUCCCCGCGGUGUCCCUCGUGUCCUUGGGGGGUCCCCUGGGUGUCCCUGGGGGUCCCCUGGGUGUCCCAAAUGUCCCCCAGGGUGUCCCCAGGGUGUCGCUCGUGUCUUUGGGGGGUCCCCAGGGUGUUCCUCGGGGGGUCCCCAGGGUGUCCCUCGGGGGGUCCCCAAUGUCCCCAAGGUGUCCCCAAUGUCCCCAUGGGUGUCACCCCCGUCCCCAGUGUGCCCAAAGUCCCAGAAGUGUCCCAAAUGUCCCCAGGGUGUCCCCAGGGCUGGCCCAGGGGUGUCCCCAAAUGUCCCCAGGGUGUCCCCAGGGGUGUCACCCCCAUCCCCUCCUGUCCCCAAUGUCCCCAAGGUGUCCCCACUGUCCCCGUGGGUGUCCCCCCCAAUGUCCCCGUGGGUGCCCCGUGGGUGUCACCGCCGUUCCCAAUGUCCCCACUGUCCCUGCGGGUGCCCCCCCAAUGUCCCCAAUGUCCCUGUGGGUGUCCCAUGGGUGUCCCCAGGGCUGUCCCCGUGAGUGUCCCACGGGUGUCCCCCCAACGUCCCCAAUGUCCCCGCGGGUGUCCUCCCCAAUGUCCCCAAUGUCCCCAUGGGUGUCCCCAAUGUCCUCAUGGGUGUCACCCCCAUCCCCACUGUCCCCAGGGCUGUCCCAUGGGUGUCCCUGGGGUGUUCCCAGAGGCUAUCCCAGAGUGUCCCAUGGGUGUCCCGUGGGUGUCCCCCAUGUCCUGCGGGUGUCCCGUGGGUGUCCCCACCAUCCGCAGGGUGUCCCCAAUGUCCCCGCAGGUGUCCCCCCCCAAUGUCCCAUGGGUGUCCCCGCCGUCCCCAAUGUCCCCGUGGGUGUCCCCAAUAUCCCUGUGAGUGUCCCCAAUGUCCCGUGGGUGUCCCAUGGGUGUCACUCCCAUUCCCGUGGGUGUCCCCCCAACGUCCCCGCCGUCCCCGCGGGUGUCCCCCCCGAAUGUCCCCAAUCUCCCUGUGGGUGUCCCAUGGGUGUCCCCAAUGUCCCCACUGUCCCAUGGGUGUCCCAGGGGUGUCCCGAAUGUCCCCAAUGUCCCGCGGGUGUCCCCCCCAAUGUCCCACGGGUGUCCCCCGCAAUGUCCCGCGGGUGUCCCCCGCAAUGUCCCGCGGGUGUCCCCCCCAAUGUCCCGCGGGUGUCCCCCCCAAUGUCCCCGCAGACCGGCCGGGCUCGCGGCGCUGCGGCCGCUGCCUGAUCACCUUCCCGGACGCGGCGUUCGCCGCCCGCCACGCCAAGCGGCAGCACCCGGGCGCCUUCGCGGCAGCCGCCCUGCGGGGGGCGCUCUUCGUCUGCUUCGUCUGC